UACGAAGGGGGCUAGCGUUGUUCGGAUUUACUGGGCGUAAAGCGUGUGUAGGUGGUUGUGCAAGUCGGUUGUGAAAUCCCCGGGCUCAACCUGGGAACUGCUUCCGAGACUGUGCGACUAGAGAUCGGUAGAGGGCGGUGGAAUUUCCGGUGUAGCGGUGAAAUGCGUAGAUAUCGGAAGGAACACCAAUGGCGAAGGCAGCCGCCUGGGCCUGAUCUGACACUGAGACACGAAAGCGUGGGGAUCAAACAGG
rnacentral:rRNA from 1 species